rnacentral:rRNA from 1 species
CAAGCGGUGGAUGAUGUGGAUUAAUUCGAUGCAACGCGAAAAACCUUACCUACCCUUGACAUGGUCGGAAUCCCGCUGAGAGGUGGGAGUGCUCGAAAGAGAACCGAUACACAGGUGCUGCAUGGCUGUCGUCAGCUCGUGUCGUGAGAUGUUGGGUUAAGUCCCGCAACGAGCGCAACCCUUGUCCUUAGUUGCUACCCGCAAGGGAGCACUCUAAGGAGACUGCCGGUGACAAACCGGAGGAAGGUGGGGAUGACGUCAAGUCCUCAUGGCCCUUAUGGGUAGGGCUUCACACGUCAUACAAUGGUCGGUACAGAGGGUCGCCAACCCGCGAGGGGGAGCUAAUCCCAGAAAACCGAUCGUAGUCCGGAUUGCAGUCUGCAACUCGACUGCAUGAAGCUGGAAUCGCUAGUAAUCGCGGAUCAGCAUGUCGCGGUGAAUACGUUCCCGGGUCUUGUACACACC